GACGAACGCUGGCGGCGUGCUUAACACAUGCAAGUCGAACGGAAAGGCCCUGCUUUUGUGGGGUGCUCGAGUGGCGAACGGGUGAGUAACACGUGAGUAACCUGCCCUUGACUUUGGGAUAACUUCAGGAAACUGGGGCUAAUACCGGAUAGGAGCUCCUGCUGCAUGGUGGGGGUUGGAAAGUUUCGGCGGUUGGGGAUGGACUCGCGGCUUAUCAGCUUGUUGGUGGGGUAGUGGCUUACCAAGGCUUUGACGGGUAGCCGGCCUGAGAGGGUGACCGGCCACAUUGGGACUGAGAUACGGCACAGACUCCUACGGGAGGCAGCAGUGGGGAAUAUUGCACAAUGGGAGGAAGCCUGAUGCAGCAACGCCGCGUGCGGGAUGACGGCCUUCGGGUUGUAAACCGAUUUCGCCUGUGACGAAGCGUGAGUGACGGUAAUGGGUAAAGAAGCACCGGCUAACUACGUG
rnacentral:rRNA from 1 species